rnacentral:rRNA from 1 species
GACGAACGCUGGCGGCGUGCCUAAUACAUGCAAGUAGAACGCUGAAGGAGGAGCUUGCUUCUCUGGAUGAGUUGCGAACGGGUGAGUAACGCGUAGGUAACCUGCCUGGUAGCGGGGGAUAACUAUUGGAAACGAUAGCUAAUACCGCAUAAUAGUAGAUGUUGCAUGACAUUUGCUUAAAAGGUGCAAUUGCAUCACUACCAGAUGGACCUGCGUUGUAUUAGCUAGUUGGUGAGGUAACGGCUCACCAAGGCGACGAUACAUAGCCGACCUGAGAGGGUGAUCGGCCACACUGGGACUGAGACACGGCCCAGACUCCUACGGGAGGCAGCAGUAGGGAAUCUUCGGCAAUGGACGGAAGUCUGACCGAGCAACGCCGCGUGAGUGAAGAAGGUUUUCGGAUCGUAAAGCUCUGUUGUAAGAGAAGAACGAGUGUGAGAGUGGAAAGUUCACACGUAGACGGUAUCUACCAGAAA